GACGAACGCUGGCGGCGUGCUUAACACAUGCAAGUCGAACGGAAAGGCCCUGCUUGCAGGGUACUCGAGUGGCGAACGGGUGAGUAACACGUGGGUGAUCUGCCCUGCACUUCGGGAUAAGCCUGGGAAACUGGGUCUAAUACCGGAUAGGAGCCAUUUUUAGUGUGAUGGUUGGAAAGUUUUUUCGGUGUAGGAUGAGCUCGCGGCCUAUCAGCUUGUUGGUGGGGUAAUGGCCUACCAAGGCGGCGACGGGUAGCCGGCCUGAGAGGGUGGACGGCCACAUUGGGACUGGGAUACGGCCCAGACUCCUACGGGAGGCAGCAGUGGGGAAUAUUGCACAAUGGGCGCAAGCCUGAUGCAGCGACGCCGCGUGGGGGAUGACGGCCUUCGGGUUGUAAACUCCUUUCGCUAGGGACGAAGCUUUUUGUGACGGUACCUAGAGAAGAAGCACCGGCUAACUACGUG
rnacentral:rRNA from 1 species